UUGUAUGGAUGAGCAAAGAAAGUGGUUUUUUUUUUUGAGAUGGAAGCUACUCUUGGUGAAGAUGCUAUUAA
rnacentral:pre_miRNA from 1 species